UAUGAGGUGUGAUAUCCGCCAAAAUUCAUAUAUUCAAUUAUGCCAUUGGAAAUUGCAUUUCGGAAGUUCAGUUAUGCUAUUAUGAUAUUCGAUAUUAUGAUAUUCGAAUUUCAUUCGGCAAGAAACAGUCAUUAUUGAAAUUUCAUUCGGCAUGAAACAGUCAUUAUUGAAAUAGUCAUUCGGCAUGGCACUCAGAAACCAAAAUUCGACUUCCGAUUUAGCGGGAAAAGCACGCGGGGAGUUGUAAUGUCAACAUGGACGAAGGCGAAGGCAAUUUAAGUCUGCGUCGUCCCCAGUCGCUUUAUUAAAUUCGCGGGAGGGGGAUAAAGGAAGAUAUAUACUGAUCUUUUUUUUUUUUCUUUUAUUUAAUUUUCGCCCAAAAUAUAACAUUUAACAACAUACAUUAUUUACAAAUUUUUAGGGCUAGGAACAAUUUUUAGGGCUAGGAUUUUUAGGAUCUUAGUAAGGGCAUGCGGAGGAGGCAGAAUUUAAGUCAACAGCGUGCUGUUUCUUUGUUGCAAGAAGCGACAAGAUUGAUCAGAGAAUAUCCUGGAUCAUCAAAUGAUGUUUCUUCAGCACAAGUUGCGAGUCCACAUGUAAUUUCUCAAAGCGAAUCGCAUGCUACUAUACAUCAUCUGGCGACUGGCGGCACUGCCGUCAAUACAUCAAAUCCAGAAAGAGUGCUGGGGAAUUUUAGAAAUCUUUUUGCGCCGUAUGGGCAUACUGGUCGCCGAUGUCUAAGUUCCUCAACACAGUUGUUUCCAAUACGUCUACAACACUUAUAUUUCUGUCUUGUUGACUUAAAUUGCC
rnacentral:lncRNA from 1 species